rnacentral:rRNA from 1 species
AUACAGUGGAGAGUUUGAUCCUGGCUCAGGAUGAACGCUAGCUACAGGCUUAACACAUGCAAGUCGAGGGGCAG